rnacentral:rRNA from 1 species
GAUGAACGCUGGCGGCGUGCCUAAUACAUGCAAGUCGAGCGAACAGACGAGGAGCUUGCUCCUUUGACGUUAGCGGCGGACGGGUGAGUAACACGUAGGUAACCUACCUAUAAGACUGGGAUAACUUCGGGAAACCGGAGCUAAUACCGGAUAAUAUUUCGAACCGCAUGGUUCGAUAGUGAAAGAUGGAUUUGCUCUCACUUAUAGAUGGACCUGCGCCGUAUUAGCUAGUUGGUAAGGUAACGGCUUACCAAGGCAACGAUACGUAGCCGACCUGAGAGGUUGAUCGGCCACACUGGAACUGAGACACGGUCCGGACUCCUACGGGAGGCAGCAGUAGGGAAUCUUCCGCAAUGGGCGAAAGCCUGACGGGGCAACGCCGCGUGAGUGAUGAAGGUCUUCGGAUCGUAAAACUCUGUUAUUAGGGAAGAACAAACGUGUAAGUAACUGUGCACGUCUUGACGGUACCUAAUCAGAAAGCCACGGCUAACUACGUG